rnacentral:rRNA from 1 species
UGGGGAAUAUUGGACAAUGGGCGCAAGCCUGAUCCAGCCAUGCCGCGUGAGUGAUGAAGGCCCUAGGGUUGUAAAGCUCUUUCACCGGUGAAGAUAAUGACGGUAACCGCAGAAGAAGCCCCGGCUAACUUCGUGCCAGCAGCCGCGGUAAUACGAAGGGGGCUAGCGUUGUUCGGAUUUACUGGGCGUAAAGCGCACGUAGGCGGACUUUUAAGUCAGAGGUGAAAUCCCGGGGCUCAACCCCGGAACUGCCUUUGAUACUGGAAGACUUGAGUAUGGUAGAGGUGAGUGGAAUUCCGAGUGUAGAGGUGAAAUUCGUAGAUAUUCGGAGGAACACCAGUGGCGAAGGCGGCUAACUGGACCAUUACUGACGCUGAGGUACGAAAGCGUGGGGAGCAAACAGG